UACGUAGGGCCCGAGCGUUGUCCGGAUUUAUUGGGCGUAAAGAGUAUGUAGGUGGUUUGGUAAGUCGGAUUUUAAAUCUAUGGGCUCAACUCAUAGUCUGGAUUCGAUACUGCCUUACUUGAGGAUAGCAGGGGUAAGCGGAAUUAGUGGUGUAGCAGUGAAAUGCGUUGAUCUCACUAAGAACACCGAUGGCGAAGGCAGCUUACUAGGUUAUAUCUGACACUGAGAUACGAAAGCGUGGGGAGCGAACGGG
rnacentral:rRNA from 1 species